UACGUAGGGUGCGAGCGUUGUCCGGAAUUACUGGGCGUAAAGAGCUUGUAGGUGGUUUGUCGCGUUGUUCGUGAAAUCUCACGGCUUAACUGUGAGCGUGCGGGCGAUACGGGCAGACUAGAGUACUGCAGGGGAGACUGGAAUUCCUGGUGUAGCGGUGGAAUGCGCAGAUAUCGGGAGGAACACCGGUGGCGAAGGCGGUUCUCUGGGCCUGUUCUGACGCUGAGGAGCGAAAGCGUGGGGAGCGAACAGG
rnacentral:rRNA from 1 species